CUCAUACUCCCUCCGUUCCACAAUACUUGCCUUUCCUUUGUCAAAAUAUAGAUGUAUCUAGACAUGUUUUAGUAUAUAGGUACAUCCAUUUUUGGAUAAAUGGAAGUCAAGUAUUUUGGAACGGAGGGAGUACUUU
rfam:Triticum aestivum genome assembly, contig: Triticum_aestivum_CS42_TGACv1_scaffold_528268_6DL